rnacentral:rRNA from 1 species
CCUGUAAACGAUGUCGAUUUGGAGGUUGUGCCCUGAGGCGUGGCUUCCGGAGCUAACGCGUUAAAUCGACCGCUGGGGAGUACGGCCGCAAGGUUAAAACUCAAAUGAAUUGACGGGGGCCCGCACAAGCGGUGGAGCAUGUGGUUUAAUUCGAUGCAACGCGAAGAACCUUACCUACUCUUGACAUCCAGAGAACUUUCCAGAGAUGGAUUGGUGCCUUCGGGAACUCUGAGACAGGUGCUGCAUGGCUGUCGUCAGCUCGUGUUGUGAAAUGUUGGGUUAAGUCCCGCAACGAGCGCAACCCUUAUCCUUUGUUGCCAGCGGUUCGGCCGGGAACUCAAAGGAGACUGCCAGUGAUAAACUGGAGGAAGGUGGGGAUGACGUCAAGUCAUCAUGGCCCUUACGAGUAGGGCUACACACGUGCUACAAUGGCGUAUACAAAGAGAAGCGACCUCGCGAGAGCAAGCGGACCUCAUAAAGUACGUCGUAGUCCGGAUUGGAGUCUGCAACUCGACUCCAUGAAGUCGGAAUCGCUAGUAAUCGUAGAUCAGAAUGCUACGGUGAAUACGUUCCCGGGCCUUGUACACACCGCCCGUCACACCAUGGGAGUGGGUUGCAAAAGAAGUAGGUAGCUUAACCUUCGGGAGGGCGCUUACCACUUUGUGAUUCAUGACUGGGGUGAAGUCGUAACAAGGUAACCA